rnacentral:sRNA from 1 species
GGUUAUGGAACAUUCUAAAACUUAGACAAGACGAUUGUGAUUGGCUGAAGGGCAUACGCCCUCCUCCAGGGUGACGUGUCUGCCUAUGGAUAUCAGUUGCCAGAGAAACCUGGCUUUACUAUGGCGGUUGGAGGAACGGCAGUGAUCACACGUCGGCUGCUGGGAAGAUCUGGAUUCUCGUUUCAGGUCACCAUCAGAAAAGCUAAGUUUGCUGUAUAGUGAGGAUCAGGAGAUCUGAUCCUGAUUGCAGAACCUUCCCUGAUUACAGAAUCUUCGGUUGUAUCUCCCACUUCACCCUUCUAGACCAUCCCAGAAGAUCUAUAAGAUUUCAUCUGGGAAAUCACUAGGAGUUCUUGGAAGGGAAAGAAGGAAGAUUGUUGGUUGGAAUAAAAACAGGGUUGAAUGAGUUCCAGAAAGCAGGGUUCUCAACCUCGUGGACAGCAAUCUGCAG